AGGGCCGGUGACUUUGGAAUGGCAAAGAUAUUGCUUGCUGAGAUAGUGAGAUUCAGUCUGAUGGAGUGGGAAUCAGCGUUUUUGUUGUUCUCCUGAUAAUUAGAAGAGGCGUUUUCAAUAAAAUGUUAUAUGUUGGUUGUACACCUGAUGAUGUUACUGUGCAAUCUUUAGUAUCUUGCCUUUUCAAAGCCGGAAUGCCUAUUGAAGCCUCUCGUAUUAGCACAAUAGUAUAUCACAAUACAUGAAGUAGGCAAGUUCAUCAUCCUUGGAUGACAAUGCUGCUUUGGGGAUAAAUAGAGGUGUGCCUGUAGCUGUUUACUAGAAAAGCUUCCCAUCGUUGAACUUGGUGUCUUACUGUGAUGUUGAGAAGGCUUCUUCGUCAUGCACAAAGUACCCAGCUGGAAGCCCAAAUUACCUUCCAUUCAGAUAGCAGAUAAGUGUUUUUCCUUGUAUCGGCGGAACCAUAGCAAUAGCCGUGAUCACCGAUUACAUUUUGAGGGUGUUAUAACAGAUUUAAAGCAGCUACAUCUUAAAUUUGAACGGGGUAGAGCAUCAACAAUGAAGAUAUUUUUGGCUUUAAAUGCUGGACAAUGCUAAAAAAACUGGUAUGACUCAAAAUGAGUCAAAGGUGCCACGAGGUUGACGUCCUUGCAGUUGUGUAUGUCAAAUGAAAUCUCCAGGCAUGGUAAUGUAAAACAAAGCAGAACAUGAAAAAAUAUCAAGGAAUUGUUUAGAUUUUGUUUUUCCUUCUAUUAUCUGGACAAUUCGACGAAUCGGAUUGAAAUCAGUGUGAAGAAGACUCAUGCGAGGACUAAUCAAGCACUACUAAAUAGUAAUGUCCACAAGGAAAGGAAAAAAGAUCGUCUCUGUAGGAACUAAGUAGGAAGUUGGGCCGGAACUAGAGGACUCUGUGAGACCCCAUUUCCUGUCUACCUCUCUGAAUCCUUAGUUUUCUGAGCAGUAGAGACUCGCGCUUUAGCCGCUUCAUUUGAAGGAGGGCUUACAGAAGUCACAGCACCAGAAAGUGACAAUAGGCAAAUCAACAUAAAUGCAAGAAAAAGAGGAAACUGUACAUCAAGCCUGUAUAGCGGGACAGAGAAAAGAACAUUCUCUGAUUUUUCCCUUUGCUUUACCUUAAUCUUUAAUGUGUACAGAAAUUUAGGUAUUUUCAAGAAUGAAUGAAAUGUAUUUCAGGAGCAUGUAGAUCUUCAAUAAAGGGAUUUCAAAUGA